rnacentral:rRNA from 1 species
AUGAACGCUGGCGGCGUGCCUAAUACCUGCCAGUCGAGCGAACGGACGAGAAGCUUGCUUCUCUGAUGUUAUCGGCGGACGGGUGAGUAACACGUGGAUAACCUACCUAUAAGACUGGGAUAACUUCGGGAAACCGGAGCUAAUACCGGAUGAUAUUUUGAACCGCAUGGUUCAAAAGUGAAAGACGGUCUUGCUGUCACUUAUAGAUGGAUCCUCGCUGCAUUAGCUAGUUGGUAAGGUAACGGCUUACCAAGGCAACGAUGCAUAGCCGACCUGAGAGGGUGAUAGGCCACACUGGAACUGAGACACGGUCCAGACUCCUACGGGAGGCAGCAGUAGGGAAUCUUCCGCAAAGGGCGAAAGCCUGACGGAGCAACGCCGCGUGAGUGAUGAAGGUCUUCGGAUCGUAAAACUCUGUUAUUAGGGAAGAACAUAUGUGUAAGUAACUGUGCACAUCUUGACGGUACCUAAUCAGAAAGCCACGGCUAACUACGUG